AGAGUUUGAUCAUGGCUCAGGAUAAACGCUGGCGGCGCACAUAAGACAUGCAAGUCGAACGAACUUAACCAUUAGUUUACUAUUGGAGCGGUUAGCGGCGGACUGGUGAGUAACACGUAAGCAACCUGCCUAUCAGAGGGGAACAACAGUUAGAAAUGACUGCUAACACCGCAUAUGCCUUAGAAUCACAUGGUUCAAAAGGGAAGGAGCAAUCCGCUGAUAGAUGGGCUUGCGUCUGAUUAGCUAGUUGGUGGGGUAACGGCUACCAAGGCGACGAUCAGUAGCCGAACUGAGAGGUUGAACGGCACAUUGGGACUGAGAUACGGCCCAGACUCCUACGGGAGCA
rnacentral:rRNA from 1 species